rnacentral:lncRNA from 1 species
UGUCAGAGCUACAUAAGCAAUGGACUGACGUGGCGUAACCUCCAUAACCGACAAGCCUGACACACCUGAAAAGGUGCAGCACGUCGUCAGUCCAUCCAUCAUCAUCCUCUUUCACUCCUCGGCUAUAAAUACCAACCCCAAACCAGGUUUGAGGUAUCUCUUCACAACUCUCUCACUACUACUACUAUCUUACUUUGCUUCCCAAGCAAACUACUGAUUCUCACGCCGGAGAGUGGUAACAAGGAGCACCCCCCACCCCAUCCUCCUUGUUACGAGUCACGGCUUGUUUCCUUGUGCAGGAGAUCAACCACCGGUGAUCCAGCCAGCGAUCCUCGAGAGGAAGGGAUUAACCCUUCUUGACGAGACAAGUGUGUUAACCCUACCCGGUUAACCAUUGUUUCAUCAGGUUUAUACAUAAAAUUCGUAAAAUUUCAGUGAUUAAGGGUCAACAGACUCUCUUGACCCCCUUGGUUCUGUCUGUGAUGGCAGUACAUGUGUUUCUUUGCCCAUAACAACAAUUUUCGCCGAUAUGACAUAAAAUUUUAAAUUUUCUGGGAAAUUGGUAAAUGUAUUAUUUUGAUGAAUGUACAACCUUAAAUAUUACGCUAAUGUAUGUGUGAUAUGUGUCUCGAGCAUAAAGAUUAUCCGAGUACAAUGAUAUAACUUGUAUUUUGUUUUGUCUUGUCAAUGGUUUAAAGGGGGGAAGAUAUAUAGUGUAGAUGAGUUAUGGUUUAUGGAAUAUAAAAAAGAGUUAAAUGUCAUUUUAAUCCCUGUAGUUUGAGCCAUUUUGCCAGUUUAAUCAAAAUGUUUCAUUUUUCGCAUGUGGGUCAAAAAACGUUUCAACGUUGCCAUUUUAGUCCACUGGAUUCACUUCAUCCAUUUUCCUAGUUAACAAGAAAGGUAAUUCGACCAUUUUAUAUGACCAAAUUGCUCUUCUAGUUAAGAGAAUUACAUAUAAAAUGACCGAAUUGCUAUUCUCGUUAACAGAAAAAAUGGACGAAGUUAACUCAGUGGACUAAAAUGCCAACAGUAAAACCUUUUUGGACCUACAGCCAAACAAUGAAACCUUUGAACUAAACUAGUAAAAUUACCAAAUUCAUAACAUUUAACUCUAUCAAAAAAGAAAGGGACAAUUGCACACUCAAAAGUAAUUUCCUCGACUAGCUAGAGUUUCUUUGAUGUACUUGAUAUAAACUAGUUGGUUGCACCCGCGCUCUGCGGCGGGGCGACCCGACUUUUAACAAAAUUUAAUUGAAAACGUAGACGCAAUGAUAACGUGAAUGGUGUGAAUCCGGUCGGUGUUUGUUCGGUUCGUUACGGUACCAGCACUCGCUAUAACAACCAAAAGAGAGAUAAAAAAAAUAAAGUCAUUAUAUGACCAAAAGGAUAUCGAUACGUGUUUUACAUUCAUCGAAAACAAUAAAAAUGAAUACCGAUAACGGUACCGAACUUGUGAUAUGACCAAAAGGAUAUCGACACGUAUUUUACAUCAUCGAAAACAAUAAAAACCGAAUACCGGUAUCGACGUUGUUCGGUUGGUAUCGACACGGUUCAUUCCGUUACCUAUACAAUACCAUAACUUUAUAAAGUAAACGAACGUAAAUUAUUUAAU